rnacentral:rRNA from 1 species
UACGUAGGGUGCGAGCGUUGUCCGGAAUUAUUGGGCGUAAAGAGCUCGUAGGCGGUCUGUCGCGUCUGCUGUGAAAACCCGAGGCUCAACCUCGGGCCUGCAGUGGGUACGGGCAGACUAGAGUGCGGUAGGGGAGAAUGGAAUUCCUGGUGUAGCGGUGGAAUGCGCAGAUAUCAGGAGGAACACCGAUGGCGAAGGCAGAUCUCUGGGCCGUAACUGACGCUGAGGAGCGAAAGCAUGGGGAGCGAACAGG